rnacentral:misc_RNA from 1 species
AAGCAUUCCCAUGAGUCAGUUGUGCUCAACCGGUCGCGGACGGAGGACUGUGUCGUACGGAGUACAUCGUUUCACUCUCGUACGUACGCACAAACGUUUGCCAUACCGAGUGUGACGUGUUUCUUUGCUCUCUUCCACGUUCCUUUUAUUAAGGAAACGCGACUCUUGCUUCGCAACGGUGUUCGAGGAACGCUCGAUUACUGGUGCGCGAAAUUAAUAUCGGAGUUUUGUCACUUUGUGCUGAACCUGUGACCGAAACUGAGGACUCUAGAAAUGAGAAAUUUUGUGGAGAAACAGCUGUCCUGGCUUGCUCUGUUGAUGACUGCAUUCUACUCUUUGCUCGGCAGUUGUCGGAGCCAGGAGUGCGGACACGAAAGACUUGUCAAGUGUGGAAGACCUUUUGAGAUGAUUAACAACAACGACUUGAGUUUCGCUACGAAGAAAGAAGAUUUGCAGCAAUUAUGCCCAGACUUGGAGGCCGGUAUAAAGUGUAUUCAGACUUAUACGUUUGAGUGCAUGAAGGAGAAACAAAGAGAACACUUCAAUUCUUUGUACACCGGCACCAACAAAGUAGUAAUGGAGCUGUGUCAGGAUGGCCCCUAUCAGGAUGAAUUCUUACGGCACGCGGCUUGCAUGCAAAAGGUGCAGCCCGAGUACGAGCUUUGCUACAAGAAAUAUCACAGAACCACACAGGAGAUUGAAAGAAGGAAUCACACAGCGAGCUUGAACGGAUCCCUCAAGGCUCUUUGCUGUGGCUUCAAGGAGUUUUUGGAAUGCUCCCAUCAUUCGAUUCGUCGGCAAUGUGGCGAUGACACGGCUCAAUUCGCGAAGCAGUUCCUUGACAGAAUGUCGAGUUCGCUUCUGAAGUACGACACACAUGACCAAGUUUAAUAUGACCGCAAAGGGUUAAACAACUGAACAAUAGGCAGUGACCCACCAACGCAUACACGUAUUAUCAAUCAAUGAAAGCUCAGUGUACGCGUACAAUUUUAUAAAAUAAAGGUGAGGGAAACACUUCCUGAUUGCCGUUGCCUACACAAAAUUGGGUAUAAAUGAAAGCUUGAGUGACGUACGAUGGAUCUGGAUUUUCCUCAAAAAGUGAUCGUAGCAAGUAAUAAAACCAAAUAGUAGUCCCUGGCCAUCGAAUUA